GAUGAACGCUGGCGGCGUGCCUAAUACAUGCAAGUCGAGCGAACGGACGAGAAGCUUGCUUCUCUGAUGUUAGCGGCGGACGGGUGAGUAACACGUGGAUAACCUACCUAUAAGACUGGGAUAACUUCGGGAAACCGGAGCUAAUACCGGAUAAUAUUUUGAACCGCAUGGUUCAAAAGUGAAAGACGGUCUUGCUGGCACUUAUAGAGGGAUCCGCGCUGCAUUAGCUAGUUGGUAAGGUAACGGCUUACCAAGGCAACGAUGCAUAGCCGACCUGAGAGGGUGAUCGGCCACACUAGAACUGAGACACGGUCCAGACUCCUACGGGAGGCAGCAAUAGGGAAUCUUCCGCAAUGGGCGAAAGCCUGACGGCGCAACGCCGCGUGAGUGAUGAAGGUCUUCGGAUCGUAAAACUCUGUUAUUAGGGAAGAACAUAUGUGUAAGUAACUGUGCACAUCUUGACGGUACCUAAUCAGAAAGCCACGGCUAACUACGUG
rnacentral:rRNA from 1 species